rnacentral:tRNA from 1 species
AGUAAAGUCGGCUAAUUAAGCUUUUGGGCCCAUACCCCAAAAAUGUAGGUUGGACCCCUUCCUUUACUU